UCGUGGCAGAGGAUAGCGAGGACACCGGACGACGACUCGUGGUUGGUUGGCGUGGCUGUUAGAAAGGAAGAACCCAAUUUCGCACAGGCUUUUUCUUCGAACCCCCACAUGACUAAAAGCAACGCAUCGACUCGCUGGCCAUUCCAUUCCUGGCGGCUGAAUCCUGAAUUACGCCCAACGUUGUACAUAUGCGCAUAUGCGAUGACCUGAACACAAGGUGAAGGAAGAGCCAUGUCAUCGUCGUCGAGAUCGCUGGUGCGCCGAUUGACGCCGUUCUUCGAGUCUCGGCUUCGAUGGAAUCGGAGAUUCAUGAGCUCUUCAUCCUUUUCCGAGGUGCUCAAAGUCCAAUCAUCUUCCCCGUUUCAAUCGCCAUCUCUCGAUGCCGUUCACAUGACCGACAAUUGUGUCAAGAAAAUGAAAGAGUUAGAAGUUAAUGAUACUCCUGGAAAGGGAAAAUUCCUGCGGUUGAGCAUAGAAGCUGGUGGAUGUUCUGGCUUCCAAUACGACUUCUCUCUUGAUGAGAAAGCCAAAGAUGAUGACCGAAUUUUUGAGAAGGACGGGGCUAAAUUGGUCGUCGAUAAAAUUUCAUUUGAUUUUGUAAAAGGUUCAACUGUUGAUUAUGUUGAGGAGUUGAUCCGCUCUGCUUUCCAGCAAAGUCUUGAAGCCAAUGAAUUUGGAUAGGCUCAUUUUGAUUCAGGGAUGAUGGAAUUAAUUGCCAUCCAGGAGAGUGUAGCAUAGGCACGGGGGAAAGCUUUAGAAGGUAUCUGCCAAUCCAGGUGCAGUUGGCGGAUGCAGCUGCAAAAGCUCCUUUACGGUAAAAUAAUAGUUUACGAGGGAGUAGUAGGAGAGAAACCAUAGCCUCUUAUUAGCAUGAUGAAGAGGUCAGUAACAUUUUGGCUUCAUUGGGGGAUGGUACUGAUCAUCUCUUAUAUUAUUUCUAAAACAAUCUUGAUUCAAUUUCUCAAUUCUAAACCAAUUUUUUGGACAACUUUUACAUGCCCAACAACUUUAGUCCCCCCAGUGCCAUAUCUAAAGCCUCAUUCUCCAUCCUGUAAUUUUUGUCCAAGUGUAGGGUUUGCCUUAAGGUUCAUCUCUAUAAGGUAUCGCGUGUUGUUGAUUGAGACUGUCGAUGUUGAAUUGUUGAUAUGCUAAUGGAACUGUGAUUAAGCUUUAGCAGCAG